AUAAUUUAUCAUAAGGUAAGUAUCUUUUUUUUUGUUUCAAGAAUGAAAAUGAGCUGGGAGUAUUAGUCUUAUGUGAAAAUAUAUAUAUGUUUGUGGUUUAUAAUUCACGCGCCCUCACAGAAAUCCUUUUUUUAAUAAAAUAGGGACAAAUUUAGAAUCGACAUAUGACACUUUUUGUGAUUUUUUUAACGAUUUGAUUAAUUUUAACUUAUAAAAUUGCUUCUAUCGAUACUCCGCUUGUAAGAAAAGGAUAAUAAGUAGUAUUUCAUGCAUAUGUGUAUUAUAAUUUUAUUUUCUAUGUUAGAGAAAACAGAAAGCAAAUGGCGUCAGAUAAUAUUAAUGUUUUAAACUUUCAACUAGUGUCUUUUAAUGUUGUCAGUCUUAUUAUAGUAAAAAGAAAAUGGUUAAGUCAUUCAACCUACAUAUAAAAUAUCUAAGUGAUAUCUUUAGCAUUACUGUAACACUUUUUAGGUAUGUUAUAAUGUUCAUUAGGUUUAAACGUCAUAAAAAUGGAUUGCUUUAGUGUUAAUCAGGGUACCGAAACAAUAAUUUAGAAUCCUUUAAUCACGUCAUGAUCCCCUACUCCACGUCUUUCAAUUUUAUCUGUCUCCAAUUAGGUAGGUACCUAGUUUGACAAGUGUUAAGUAUAAAAUCAUUAUCACUACAAAUGUAAUUUGUAAUGAAACACGAUAUAGCUACCUAUCUUAUUUUUCGCUCAUUGUAAUAGUAAUAAUUUAAAGGAACUUUUUGUAACUAGUUAGUAGUGUUGCUGUAGUCGUUUUUUUAAGGAUGCCUUUUAAAAUAGUGCAAACGACCGAAAGGGAUGAAGGAAUGUUCUACGGAACUUCUUGACUCACACAACAACCGAUUGUACUGUAUUUUGUGUAUGAGGUGUAUCAUUUUUUGGAACACGUUUUGCAUUUCUUAAACCAAAUAUAAAGUUUGAAUAUUC